UACGGAGGGAGCUAGCGUUGUUCGGAAUUACUGGGCGUAAAGCGCGCGUAGGCGGCUUUGUAAGUUAGAGGUGAAAGCCCGGGGCUCAACCCCGGAAUUGCCUUUAAGACUGCAUCGCUUGAAUCCGGGAGAGGUGAGUGGAAUUCCGAGUGUAGAGGUGAAAUUCGUAGAUAUUCGGAAGAACACCAGUGGCGAAGGCGACUUACUGGACGACUGUUGACGCUGAGGUGCGAAAGCGUGGGGAGCAAACAGG
rnacentral:rRNA from 1 species